rnacentral:lncRNA from 1 species
UCGUCGUGACAAGACCCUUUUAUAUUUUUCGUGUCAUCAUUACAUUUUCUGAGGCGGUUACGCCACAGCUCGUCACAACUCGUCACAACAUCAACUUAGUCUCAUUGCGACUUGGGCCUUCCCAUCACGUCAUCAUGAUAACUCACAUCGCGAAGCCACUCAUUGUUUGUUUCCUCGUUAUGGCCUUCUCAUCAUGACAUUGCAAAGCCUCUUCAGGAUAUGGGUAGUUCGAUGCAACGACGCG